AUUGAACGCUGGCGGUAGGCCUAACACAUGCAAGUCGAACGGCAGCACAGUAAGAGCUUGCUCUUACGGGUGGCGAGUGGCGGACGGGUGAGGAAUACAUCGGAAUCUACUUUUUCGUGGGGGAUAACGUAGGGAAACUUACGCUAAUACCGCAUACGACCUACGGGUGAAAGCAGGGGAUCUUCGGACCUUGCGCGAGUGAAUGAGCCGAUGUCGGAUUAGCUAGUUGGCGGGGUAAAGGCCCACCAAGGCGACGAUCCGUAGCUGGUCUGAGAGGAUGAUCAGCCACACUGGAACUGAGACACGGUCCAGACUCCUACGGGAGGCAGCAGUGGGGAAUAUUGGACAAUGGGCGCAAGCCUGAUCCAGCCAUACCGCGUGGGUGAAGAAGGCCUUCGGGUUGUAAAGCCCUUUUGUUGGGAAAGAAAAGCAGCAGGUUAAGACCCCGCUGUUCUGACGGUACCCAAAGAAUAAGCACCGGCUAACUUCGU
rnacentral:rRNA from 1 species